rnacentral:rRNA from 1 species
UUGCACGCUGGCGGCAGGCCUAACACCUGCAAGUCGCACGGUAACAGGAAACAGCUUGCUGUUUCGCUGACGAGUGGCGGACGGGUGAGUAAUGUCUGGGAAACUGCCUGAUGGAGGGGGAUAACUACUGGAAACGGUAGCUAAUACCGCAUAACGUCGCAAGACCAAAGAGGGGGACCUUCGGGCCUCUUGCCAUCGGAUGUGCCCAGAUGGGAUUAGCUAGUAGGUGGGGUAACGGCUCACCUAGGCGACGAUCCCUAGCUGGUCUGAGAGGAUGACCAGCCACACUGGAACUGAGACACGGUCCAGACUCCUACGAGAGGCAGCAGUGGGGAAUAUUGCACAAUGGGCGCAAGCCUGAUGCAGCCAUGCCGCGUGUAUGAAGAAGGCCUUCGGGUUGUAAAGUACUUUCAGCGGGGAGGAAGGGAGUAAAGUUAAUACCUUUACUCAUUGACGUUACCCGCAGAAGAAGCACCGGCUAACUCCGUG